UUCCUGGUGGCCCAGUGGUUAAGGCUCUGCUCUGCCAAAGCAGGGAGCACAGGUUCAGGCCCUGGCUGGGGAA
rnacentral:tRNA from 1 species